AGAGGGCAUAAGAGGAAAAAGCCGGCGGGGAAGGAGUGUUAGAAGGAAAGAGGAAGGCUGCAGCCCUUACAUGGGAAAAUAUGAGCUAAUCUCCUGAUGGGGGUGGGCGUGUGUGUGUGUCUGUCUGUCUGCAUGCGAGCUGCUGAUCCAGCAUUUUGAUAGCAACAGUUCGGGAGCCUGGUCUACAGCGGGAGUAAAUGUGACCACAGCACCCAGCAGCUCAUCCCGGCUGGGUUAAUGCGAGCGGAGAGACAGAGCUCCAGUCCUUUCCCAGACUGUCUUCAGUGGGAAAGUUUUGGGGAGGGGUUGCCUUCUGGGAGUGAGGAGGGAUGGUGCACGCAGAGCCUCUGGGAGAAAGGGAGAUUUCCUAUUCGGCUUUUUCCUCUCCGCCCUGCAGCUUGAAUAAAUUCCUUCACAGAGAAGAUAUUUUUAUGCUAGGUUUAAAUUGUGUCAGCACCAGACAUGCAAAAUCUCUUUUGUAAUGUUUCUUCUUCAGUGCUGGAACAUGGGUUUUAUUUUUGAGAUCUACUCCAACCUGGGUCUAUGGACUGAGGGCCCCAUGAGCACUGAGAACUCAUCAGAUGCAGUCCUGGAGCUUGAAUUCUGCCUCAGCGCCCCCUGCACUCACUUUGUGUACUCACCACUGCUGAGUGAACCGCAGCCUGGUGAGGCUGAUCUGGAGAUUUACUUCAAAAGCGUGCCCUUGAUUCACACGAAAACAUGAAUGUGGAUGUGCCCACGGCAUGGCAGGCAGAAAGAGAGCUGGUGUGACUUUCCCAAGGCUGAGGGCUGGAGCCUGCUCCGCAGCAUACCAUUCUAGCACCCUCCCCUCAACUCAGCUUUCUGCCUGGUGCCAAGCCUCCACCUCUGAGAGCGCACUGGCUCUCACAUCUCCACUUCGGCAGGGAGCUGUGCACUGCUCCAUGAGUAUAGACACUCUUCAUUUACUGCUUGCACGCCUUCACCUAGCUCAGUCAGGUGUUUUACCUCCUGCUGUUCAUUGUAUCAACGCCUGAAAUGUCAGGGAUACUAAGCUCCCUGUGUCACUUGAAUUCUUGAAUUGUGCUAUUGGUGUAAAGAAGGAGAAGAAUCAAGUACUGUUAUUAACCCCACAAUUGUUUAAAGACCCAAUCUGACAUUCUUUCCUUGGCCAGGGGCCUUGCUUAUAAUAAAAUUGUGAUGAAUGUGUCUAAAUAAGGCGUGUGUUGGGAUUAGACAUGAGUAGAAAUUGCUUGGCAUUAAAACUGUGGAAGAACUUUGUUUCACA